ACCCGCGGAAACUGGGUAUAAUCCCCGCAUAGAUCUCGGUCGCUGGAAUGCCCCGAUAUCGAAAGCUCCGGCGCCAUAUGAUGGGUCUGCGGCCUAUCAGGUGGUACUGGGUGUAUCGUACCUACUAACCUACGACGCGUACGGGUUGUGAGAGCCAGAGCCCGGAGAUGGAUUCUGAGACACGAAUCCAGGCCCUACGGGGUG
rnacentral:rRNA from 1 species